UUUAUAUGAGAGUUUGAUCCUGGCUCAGGAUGAACGCUGGCGGCGUGCCUAAUACAUGCAAGUCGAACGAGUUCUGAUUAUUGAAAGGUGCUUGCAUCUUGAUUUAAUUUUGAACGAGUGGCGGACGGGUGAGUAACACGUGGGUAACCUGCCCUUAAGUGGGGGAUAACAUUUGGAAACAGAUGCUAAUACCGCAUAAAUCCAAGAACCGCAUGGUUCUUGGCUGAAAGAUGGCGUAAGCUAUCGCUUUUGGAUGGACCCGCGGCGUAUUAGCUAGUUGGUGAGGUAACGGCUCACCAAGGCAAUGAAUACGUAGCCGAACUGAGAGGUUGAUCGGCCACAUUGGGACUGAGACACGGCCCAAACUCCUACGGGAGGCAGCAGUAGGGAAUCUUCCACAAUGGACGCAAGUCUGAUGGAGCAACGCCGCGUGAGUGAAGAAGGCUUUCGGGUCGUAAAACUCUGUUGUUGGAGAAGAAUGGUCGGCAGAGUAACUGUUGUCGGCGUGACGGUAUCCAACCAGAAAGCCACGGCUAACUACGUGCCAGCAGCCGCGGUAAUACGUAGGUGGCAAGCGUUAUCCGGAUUUAUUGGGCGUAAAGCGAGCGCAGGCGGUUUUUUAAGUCUGAUGUGAAAGCCCUCGGCUUAACCGAGGAAGUGCAUCGGAAACUGGGAAACUUGAGUGCAGAAGAGGACAGUGGAACUCCAUGUGUAGCGGUGAAAUGCGUAGAUAUAUGGAAGAACACCAGUGGCGAAGGCGGCUGUCUGGUCUGUAACUGACGCUGAGGCUCGAAAGCAUGGGUAGCGAACAGGAUUAGAUACCCUGGUAGUCCAUGCCGUAAACGAUGAAUGCUAGGUGUUGGAGGGUUUCCGCCCUUCAGUGCCGCAGCUAACGCAUUAAGCAUUCCGCCUGGGGAGUACGACCGCAAGGUUGAAACUCAAAGGAAUUGACGGGGGCCCGCACAAGCGGUGGAGCAUGUGGUUUAAUUCGAAGCAACGCGAAGAACCUUACCAGGUCUUGACAUCUUUUGAUCACCUGAGAGAUCAGGUUUCCCCUUCGGGGGCAAAAUGACAGGUGGUGUAUGGUUGUCGUCAGCUCGUGUCGUGAGAUGUUGGGUUAAGUCCCGCAACGAGCGCAACCCUUAUGACUAGUUGCCAGCAUUUAGUUGGGCACUCUAGUAAGACUGCCGGUGACAAACCGGAGGAAGGUGGGGAUGACGUCAAAUCAUCAUGCCCCUUAUGACCUGGGCUACACACGUGCUACAAUGGAUGGUACAACGAGUUGCGAGACCGCGAGGUCAAGCUAAUCUCUUAAAGCCAUUCUCAGUUCGGACUGUAGGCUGCAACUCGCCUACACGAAGUCGGAAUCGCUAGUAAUCGCGGAUCAGCACGCCGCGGUGAAUACGUUCCCGGGCCUUGUACACACCGCCCGUCACACCAUGAGAGUUUGUAACACCCGAAGCCGGUGGCGUAACCCUUUUAGGGAGCGAGCCGUCUAAGGUGGGACAAAUGAUUAGGGUGAAGUCGUAACAAGGUAGCCGUAGGAGAACCUGCGGCUGGAUCACCUCCUUUCUAAGGAA
rnacentral:rRNA from 2 species